GCCCCCAUCGAUUUGCUCUACGAACUGAUGAAGCAGAAGGGCAAACCCGAUGGGCACC
ensembl:miRNA